UACGGAGGGUGCGAGCGUUGUCCGGAAUCACUGGGCGUAAAGGGCGCGUAGGCGGCCCGGCAAGUCAGUGGUGAAAGCCCGAGGCUCAACUUCGGGUCGGCCAGUGAUACUGCGGGGCUCGAGUCGGCUAGAGGCAGAUGGAAUUCCGGGUGUAGCGGUGGAAUGCGUAGAGAUCCGGAAGAACACCGGUGGCGAAGGCGGUCUGCUGGGGUCGAACUGACGCUGAGGCGCGACAGCGUGGGGAGCAAACAGG
rnacentral:rRNA from 1 species